rnacentral:sRNA from 1 species
AAUGAUACUCCUGCCCGGCCUGCGUCACUGCAUAGGGGGUAGCCCUCUCCGAGAGAUGAGGGGGAAAAGUAGGGUUUCGGUUGAGACAGACCGAGACAGGCUUUU